GCUUGACAUUGUCUUGCUGAAAUAAGCAGGGGCGUCCCUGAAAAAGACGUUGCUUGGAUGGCAGCAUAUGUUGCUCCAAAACCUGAAUGUACCUUUCAGCAUUGAUGGUGCCAUCACAGAUGUGUAAGUUGCCCAUGUCAUGGACACUAACACACCCACAUACCAUCACAGA